UACGGAGGGGGCUAGCGUUGUUCGGAAUUACUGGGCGUAAAGCGCGUGUAGGCGGCUAAGUAAGUCGGGCGUGAAAUCCCACGGCUCAACCGUGGAAGUGCACUCGAAACUGCAUAGCUAGAGUCCUGGAGAGGAAGGUGGAAUGCUUGGUGUAGAGGUGAAAUUCGUAGAUAUCAAGCGGAACACCGGUGGCGAAGGCGGCCUUCUGGACAGUGACUGACGCUGAGACGCGAAAGCGUGGGGAGCAAACAGGG
rnacentral:rRNA from 1 species